rnacentral:misc_RNA from 1 species
AAAGUCGUAACAAGGUCUCCGUAGGUGAACCUGCGGAGGGAUCAUCUAAAAACGUUCAGGAAUGCCCGAGCAUCGCAAGAUGCGAAGGAUAGCCUUGGUGUUGAUAUGUCCUGGUGUUGAUAUGGCGCUCAAAAACCCCGGGCUCAAAUGGGGCGAGGGAGCUGUCGUGCAGCGGUUCGUCGUGUGAUGGGCUGGCUUCUCGCGAGGGAGGCUGGCUUGUUGUACUGCGGUUUGCUUUGCGGUGGCGCCCGAGCCUCGCUUGGCCCACCCCCCAAUGUUGCUUGAUGGAGUUGCACGGGAGGCCGUCGCUAACGCACUCCCGCAUGGAGAGUGUAGCGGUGGCGCGUCGCCCGCGCCCAAACUAACUAGGACGAACCAAACCAAUAAAGUAUAACUUUUGGCAACGGAUCUCUUGGUUCUC